rnacentral:rRNA from 1 species
CGAACGGGUGAGUAACGCGUGGGUAACCUGCCUUAUAGCGGGGGAUAACUAUUGGAAACGAUAGCUAAUACCGCAUAACAAUAGAGAUUGCAUAAUCUUUAUUUGAAAGUGCCAACUGGUACACUAUGAGAUGGACCCGCGUUGUAUUAGCUAGUUGGUAGUGUAAUGGACUACCAAGGCGAUGAUACAUAGCCGACCUGAGAGGGUGAUCGGCCACAUUGGGACUGAGACACGGCCCAAACUCCUACGGGAGGCAGCAGUAGGGAAUCUUCGGCAAUGGACGAAAGUCUGACCGAGCAACGCCGCGUGAGUGAAGAAGGUUUUCGGAUCGUAAAACUCUGUUGUUAGAGAAGAAUGUUGAUUAGAGUGGAAAAUUAAUCAAGUGACGGUAUCUAACCAGAAAGGGACGGCUAACUACGUGCCAGCAGCCGCGGUAAUACGUAGGUCCCGAGCGUUGUCCGGAUUUAUUGGGCGUAAAGCGAGCGCAGGUGGUUUAAUAAGUCUGAUGUAAAAGGCAGUGGCUCAACCACUGUGUGCAUUGGAAACUGUUAGACUUGAGUGCGGUAGAGGAGAGUGGAAUUCCAUGUGUAGCGGUGAAAUGCGUAGAUAUAUGGAGGAACACCGGUGGCGAAAGCGGCUCUCUGGACUGUCACUGACACUGAGGCUCGAAAGCGUGGGUAGCAAACAGGAUUAGAUACCCUGGUAGUCCACGCCGUAAACGAUGAGUGCUAGUUGUUUGGGGCUAUCCAGCCCUAAGUGACGCAGCAAACGCAUUAAGCACUCCGCCUGGGGAGUACGACCGCAAGGUUGAAACUCAAAGGAAUUGACGGGGGCCCGCACAAGCGGUGGAGCAUGUGGUUUAAUUCGAAGCAACGCGAAGAACCUUACCAGGUCUUGACAUACUCGUGCUA